AUCGUUCAUCUGUUGUCACCAACAGACGGAAGUAGGGAAUCAAUAUCCCGAAGGAACGCGCC
rnacentral:ncRNA from 19 species